rnacentral:lncRNA from 1 species
GUUCUGGACAGAGCUGUGUUGAUGCAUCUUCUUUGUAUGCUUCGGUGAGCUGGAAACAGAAACAUGAAGAAAGCAUUCUGAAGCAUUGGUGGAGUAGCCUGGCUUGUUGAAUGAAGUACAUAAAAUCCAUGCUUCUAUCUCGAUACUGAAAGGUGUCCCUCACUUCAGUUCUCAUUCUGUAACACUGAAGGACAGUGGGAGGCAACCUGUUACAUCUUUUUCAGACCAUCCAUGCAGCAUUGUCUUGAGAACAACUUGAACAUUUCGUUCCUGUUAUCUGUGUCGAAAUCUCCAGAUCACCCCAAACCUCAUAUACUUGCAUAAAAUAAGUGGUGACAGAAGGAAGAGACUGAGAAUUCAGGUGGAGAGAAGAGAGGCAGUUCUUUAGAGUGAGAGAUACGGUUCUAUGGCCAGUGUGAAAAAAAAAAAAAAAACAAAACAAAAAACAGAGAGAAAAUAAAAUUUUCCUCCUAUCUCUGUUCCACUCUCAUUUUAAUACAUCUUCAGACUAAAGCAGUGACAUCUCAUUUUCGACUGAAGACGUUUGGAAAUGGAUCUCCUAAAAAGAUGUCAGCAAACAGGCAAAUAAACACAGAAUGCAUAUCUAAGCUACUGGAUGUUUACAAAAGGUACUGCAGAAGGGAAAAUGUACCAGAUGAAAUGGAAAUUAUUUCAUGAAUCACCUCACGAUUUCACAGAAAUAAGGGAAGUAUUAUUACUGAUUAUUCUCCAUAAAACAAGUUUAAAAACAUACCAUCGUCUAAAAAGGAAAAGUGAAAGGUUUCUAAAUUGGAUAUUUCAAUAUUGCUAAUGAGAACGAAGUGAGCUGAUGAAUGUUGAAUCAUUCCUUGACAGUUUUUAAACAAAUAUUAUCAUUCAUUCUCUUUCCUGCAUCGACAGAUGAUGUUUCUUGUUCAAAUGAGGCUUCCUGACUUUUGAUAAAGGCUGCUGAAAAUAGCACUCCCCUUCCCAAGCUGUAUAUUCACCUCUAGCAUAUACUGACAUACUGACAGGGAAUGAAAAUUUGGGAUGCUCUGCAGUGUUCUGCCCUUUCAUGAAGGGUUUGUCUUGUGUGUGAAGUAUGAUGUACACCAUGGUAUCACUAUAUCACAUUACCCGGUGAUGAAUUUAGAAGCUGCCACUGCUGUCUAAUUCAGCAAUCCAUUUUGAAAUUGAGUAGCCUCUUCUCUCCCUUAAAAGUAGGGCAUCAUUAAAUUAAAGUAACCUAUUGUGUGCAGCAGACUAGGCAAGAAGUGGGUGAUGUUCUCCUGCCUUCAGCUGUCUGUCCCUGCCUGCUGGCUGCUUUCAAAUGGAGGAGACAAGUCUGAUGGGCUGCUUAAACUCGUUCCUUCACUUCCCUCCAUUCUUAGCCUCCACAGAGGGCAGACUUGGGACUGUAAAGAACAGCUGCUUACCUCACUGAUGCUUUAUAUACUGAUUUAAGUGUGUAUAUGCUCACUUUUAUAUCUUGUUUAUUCAUUACUGUGGAAGGCUAUAGGAAGUUGGGGGAAAGUUGCAAGGUACAAGACUGAAAAUGGAUUUUGGAUUUGUGGAGCAGGCUGUGUGUAAGCAAAUGCACUUGGAUUCCGUGCUGGCUUUCUCCCGUUACACAGUUUUUGCAUUGUUCUUGAUCAAAAUGGAUGGAAAAUACUGAGGGUGUUCACUUGGUUUUGCUAUAAUUGCUAUAAACAUUCUAAAUAGUGCUUUGGUUAAUAGUCAGAAGGACAAAUGGGAAGGAAGCCAUCAGGUGGGUAGUCAGGUAGAGACACUUUGUUUGCGUUUACUGUAAGAGCACAUUGGAAAUAUUGUUAAUUUAACAUCAACCAUCUAAAGAUAGCACCAAUUCUAAUUUCAUCAGCAGGUGAGUGUGAAAAAUCGGCCAAUGUUUUCAAUGUAGAAGUGGAAAAAUAAAAAAAUAGAAAGCCAGUUAUGUAUUAAUUGUGAUAGAGCACUAUCUGAAUUUGAAGAGCUAGAAAUUCUGCCCAUUUCAUCGAGACUUGACCUAACAUUUCCCACUGCGAGUAGAAAAUAUUGAUAUAAUGCAUAGGAAUCAUUCUGUUUGUGGUGGGUUUUUGUGGUUGUUUGUCCUUUUCUUUCUUUCUUUUUUUUUACUAGCCGUUGCCCAUAUGGCCAGUUAAUUAUCCUUCUGCAGGCAGAAUUAUUUUAUUUAAUGAAUUUUUAAAUGUCAGUGACGUGAAAAACCAUUACUGUGGUUGUAAGUCCAUUACUCACCUUCAGCUUCUAUUUCCCAUCACCCCCCACUUUAGCUUUAAGGAGCAUCUGAAGUGACAGAGCUUUGAUUUCAGUUGAGAGUGCUGAGCACAGAAGUCUUACAAGUAAUACAUUAUUAAAAAAUCGUAGCAAGAAAAUUAAUUUCUACUAUCGUAUGCCAUGCUGGGUAUAUCACUUCUAACAAAUGACCUUUUUUUUUCAUAUAUUCAUUGGUAGAUUUACCAGGACAAAAUAAUUACUUUGUUUUCCACCUCUAAGAAAAAAAAAAAAGUCUUUUUCUUGUGCGUGUGUGGUUUUCUUGUUUUGUUUUUAAUUGAAAUAAGUACACAAAAUGGGUUCUAUAAGAUAAAAAGAAAAAGGAAAGAAAAAAGAAGGAACUGGAAAACCACACAGAAAUGAGGCACUGGCUCCCUGUCAUGUUGUCUGGUCAGUAAUAUUUCUUACUGUGAAAUUCCUGCAUGUUCGCAUGUUCAUGUUUAAAUCCUCCCAGAGAGAUUUUGCAUUGGAUCCUAGUUGAACUCAAGAAGGUAGAUGGUUAUGCGGUUUCUCAUAUUUCUUGCUUUUGAGAGGAACGUCUGUUUAUCCAGAGAGCCUUAUCUGGGCUUGGCGACGAGCACAUUCCGCAGCCAGAAGAAGGACCAGACAGGAAAUUGACCCAAAAAAAGGAAUUAAUAAAGCAACAAGUCAAAUUCUGCUUGAAGCACACUAAAGACUUCAGUGAGACUUUCUGACAGCGUGUGGUAAUGAAACUACCCCAUAAGGAGAUGAAAAACAAGAUAUACUCAAUGGGAGGAGCACAUGCUUGUACUUAAAUUCUUCUGUUUCUCCUUCAGUCAGAUGGGCAAAGGAAAAUGCUGUCCUAUCCCAAGAAAUGCAAAGGCAUAAUCAAGUAUGUCUGUGCCUCUCUUGCCAUUUUGAUAUUGGGAACUCAUCCAGCUGUGAACCAAUAGUCUUAUAUGGAAGAUCAGAACUGCUGCUCCUUCGCUUCUUGAUGUAGGAUCUCUCUAUACACAAGCACUGUGCGCGAGUCUUCCCCUUAAAACUUUGAGCACUGCAUAAAUUCUGCUGGUCAAGAGGCUCAGACUGUGAUUUCAAAAGGAACUCCCGUAUUUGUCAACACGUAGCUGAUGAAUGCUCACAGCUAAGAAGUGGUAUUGUGGAUCCCUUUCAUGACUUAUACCUAUAUUUAGUAAGUAUGGAUGACUAACUAAUCCUUUACUGGGAGCAGCUACUGCAAAAUGUAAGUAAGUGCAGAAAUCACCAUCACUGAAUAAAUACUGUGUUGAGUACAGGACGUGUCUUGCAUUAAUAUUUUUGGCCAUUAGAAAUAUUAGAGCAACAGUAGGUUUUAUCACUAGACUGGUUAUGUGUAACCUGUGUCACCUUCCUUUCUUAUCUUUAAAAAUUUCAAGAUGUGAUUUUAUUUCACAGCUGUGAUAACUGCAGAAUAAUCACACCAAUCACCAAGUUACUUGAAAAUAAGUAAGUAACAACAUGAGACAAACCUUAUCUUUACUACAAAGGCAUGCACAAGUUGCUCUAAAUUCUAGCUGGCACUUUACGCACCAAAAGGCUAAGAACUAUUCAAUCACCCUGCUCUUCCAGAACUUCCUUUACUGACUAAUAUAUUCUGGAGAGGUACCUGUGGGAGGAUUGGAGUGAGCCACUGCCUGCAGAGCUAAAUAACAAGCAUGAACACAAGGUACUCACCUAAACAUCCUCCAUGAAAAUGCAGCUGACACACUUGAGGGACGGGAUGCCAUUCGAAAGAAGCAUGGUGAGCAGGGCCAGGGAGAUGGUCCUGUCCUCUACUCUGCGCUGGCAAGGCCUCACCUGGAGUACUGGGUCCAGAUGUGGCGUCCUUUGUACAGGAGAGGCACUGACCUGUUGGAGUGCAUCCAGAGGAGGGUCACAAAAAUGAUCCAAGGGAUGGAACACGUCUCCUAAGAGGACAUGCUGAAAGAGCAGGGGCUGUUCAGCCUGGAGAAGAGAAGGCUCCAGGGAGACCUGAGAGCAGCCAUUCAUAUCUAAAGGGGAGCUACAGGAAAGAAGGGGACAGACUCUUUAGAAGGGUUUAUUGUGAUGGGACAAGAGGAAGUGGUUUCAAGCUAUAAGGGGAAGAUUUAUACUGGAUAUAAGGAAGAAGUUCUUUGCAAUAAGGGUGGUGAGGCACUGGAACAGGUUGCCCAGAGAGGUGGUGGGAGCCCCAUUCUUGGAGACAGUCAAGGUCAGGCUGGAUGGGGCUUUGAGUACCCUGAUCUAGCUGUAGCUGUCUCCGUUCAUUGCAGGGGUGUUGGACUAGAUGGCCUUUAACGGUCUCUUCCAGCUCAAAAAAAUCCAUUAUUCUGUGAUUUUCACCCAGCCUAGUAUCUUUCCUGACAGGCUGUGUAGCCCGGCAGAUAAAGGAAGCAAAAUUAUCCUUCUUGAAUGUUAGCUCUUGCUUAGCAUCUUGGCAAAACCAGUUGGCAAAUAAACCUUUGUUUGACCUUGGUAUGUUUCUCUGGAAGCUCUGUUUUUCUCCUCUGCACUCCCUUCUUUAAAUAGAAAGAGAGGUCUCGGACCAACAGAGCGCAAAGGAGUCACAGCAGGCACAUGGGGAGGGAGUCUCUGCUUCCUCAGCUCUGGAUACAUCCCAGCCUGACAUGAUUUGUCACCUUGUGUAAUAUAAUUCAGCUUAAGAUAUAAAUUCCUGUAAGCCUUAAGCUGUGCAGCCAGAACGGUGAUAAAGUAACAGAGAAAUGAAGAUUUACAAGACACAUCUAAGGUGUAAACAUGAAUAAAAUAAUCCACACGCGUACAUAGUAAAAUGCUGUAUUCCUAUGCUUGCUUUAUAUUCCCCACACAGUUCGAAGUCUGAUUUACUGCUCCUUACUGAAAACACACUCUUGCUUGAAUAGAAACUUGCUGAAAUUUCACAAUUCUUAUCACUACUCAGGAUUGCUACAAAUUUGAUUCAGUUUGGGUUGGUUUGCCUUAGAAAUUUCUUCUGUGGGAACAGAACAUUUGCACAAGUCGUAUACCCC